rnacentral:lncRNA from 1 species
CUGACUCUACUUGGUCCUUAAGGCCCAAUCUUUUUAUAUGGGAAACAUCACAGAGAAGAUCCUAUGUCAUGAACUCUAAUGGAUGCCAGUUGGCUCUUGGGGAAAGGAGAUUGGUUGGAAGGAAUGCUUUUAGGAUAUGUGACACAGCAGGUGGUAUUUAACAUAAUGCUAUAUUUUUGGUAAUUUCAAUAAUAGCUAUCCUACAUCUGAAUAUUUAUUCAUUAAAUGAAUCAGAUUAAGAGCCCUACCAUGAUCACAGCCAGAUACUAUGUCACCCCAUAUAUAACCAUGACAGUCUUGAGAUUAACCAGCCACUGGGUGCUAUUUUAAUGAUGCUUUUGCUAACAACUUUCUACUUAGAAAUGUGAAUAUUUGGCUAAUAUCAUCAUAUUUCAUUUUGUAUUGUAAAAUGUCCUAAACCUUCAAAAUGUAGCCAGAUUCCCACCUGAUAGUUGAAUCUUUAAUUUUUUCAUGCAUCAAACAAGGAUUUUUGAAUCACUGCAUGCUAUAUCCUUUGUUAGUCAUUAUAGUUAGAAAAUCAAUAACAAAGACAUUUAUUUGCUUUGUUCACUCAUUCAUUUGAAAGUAAUUUUUGAGUAUGCAUUGUGCCCCAAGCAUCAUGGUAGGUUCUGUGAGGUGAUGUAGAAACGGUAUAUUAAAUCUAUUCAUUCAUUUAGUUAGUUAGUCAGUCAACGAACAUUAUUGAGAAGCUGUGAUUUGACAAAUUAAUAAAAUAUGGUUCCCAUCUUAGGAACCAUAAGGAAAUUAUGGAGAUUCUCUUGGAUUAGUUUUGAAAUGACUGUAAGAAGUCAUAGAUGCUAGGGAGAUAACUUUGCAAAUAAAGCUUUGUUCUUGAAGGCAUUUGUUCAGCAUCUAACUAGUCAGCCUCUACUUUCUCUCUACUGUAUAAGGUACUGUGAACACAUCUAAUUUAGCUUAAUUGACUAAAAAUCCAUCAAAUGCUUAUAGUGUUCUAGGUCCUACACCAGGCAUUGAGAAUAACAAGGUGAAAGAAGCAUGGUCCCUGCUGUUGAAUAUCUUAAGAGUAACAAAGAUAAAGAUGCUCAGGAAUUGUGUAAUAGUAUGAGUGGUAUGAGCACUGAAGAGGGGGAAUAGUUUCCCGACAGUAGUGAUGCAUGGAAUGAGUUUCAAAACACUGAGGGAUAUGUGGCAUCCGUGUUCCAGCCACAAGUGAAAGGGAUCAGAGGUCUGAGAGAGCAAGCUGUGUUGGAGGGACUACAUGUCAUGUGUUAUUACUGGAGCGUGAAGUCUAUGGAGGAGAAUUGGAAGAGGCCUUGGAUACUAGGAGAGAGCAUUUGACAUUCUUCGGAAAGGGAUAGUGAGUCAGAGAUCUGCUUUCCAUCUGACCUGCCAGUGUUUCCCAACUCCCCUUCCCUGUACUUCCCACAAGUUUGUUGAAAUUCACUGAAAAUAAUAGUAGUAUUAUUUGUGCUUUUCAGUGGCAGGUAUCAAAGAACAACUAUGUGUACAGGUAGGUUAGAAGCACUAGUGUCAAGACCCCUUUCAUCACUGAUGCUAAUUUUCGUGUGGGUCAUAUGAAGCAUCUCCGCUUAGAUUUAUCUCCUCUGGUCUUCUUGCCAGACUUAUGGGAUUAAGUGAAAUAUUUGUCUAUUAGUUGAGGAAAUGGAAGCCCUUAGGAUAUAAAUUGACUUUUGUCAAGCCUCAAGGAGGACAAGUGAUGGUACAGGUCCAGAGCCCAGGCCUCCUGGUCUUAGUACAGUGUUCCUGCCAUGAGUCACAUGGACCCUGAUAUAAUUUUAAUUGUCACUGACCUACCCCCAAGCUGAACAAUUUAGAGUGUGAAGCAGAUGGAUCACUAACUGUCAUGCUACUGCCCAUCUCCUAUUUCUAGUCAGAAUUCAGUAGUUAUUAACCACGUACUGUUGCAUUUUCAUGCUUAGGAGUGUAUGGGAGGUCACAACUAGGAUUUGAAUUCCACUUGGAUUCUACAUACCUCUUAAUUUUGAACAAGUUGUCAAAUUCUAGUUUUUAUUUGGUCAUCUGUAAAAAUGGACACAGUAAUAGUAACCAAAACAUGAGAUAAUAUAUCCUUAGUAGAGGGAGGGCCUAGCCAAUAUUAAUCUCUGAAAACCAUUAUCCAGUAGUCAAAACGAUUAAUAAGAUCUUGGCCCUGCAUCUUCCAUGCUUUAGUCUAGCGAGAACACCAAAAUUUAGAAGAGAGAUUUAGGAAGUUUCCGCAGGGCAAGAAGGCAGGAAAUCCUGAGCACCCCAGACUCUUUCUUAGCACAAUGGAGUUAAGCAUUUUUGGUUAUUCACCCUCUUUCUGUGGCUUCUGACAAUGCUGACCGAAAUGCAUGGCUGUUUAAAAAAGGGCCUAUGAUGAAGGAAGUAGAUUUAUUCCAUCUUGGGAACACUGUCCCCUUCUUUUUCCUCUAUUUCCUCCGGUACCACUUACUGCUCUUAAAGUUCCUCUGUUCUCCCUUCCUCUUGUUCCUCUAGCUCUUUUUCUUGGCCUGCUGAGACUUAUUACUGAUCAGGUAUCUCAUGGAAUUGGGAGUAACUCCGUUACUUAUGACAGUACCCAUAAGCCUGUCGUAAGUAAACAUAGAACCAUGGAUGGGUAUGAGUUAGGUCUCGGCUGCACACAUUCCCACAUACUAUCCUCACACACCUGCCCCCAAACACAUCACAUACACAAACACAGACAGAACAUGCCUGUUUCCAUUUAGUUUUGUUUCUUGGAUAAAAUAGUUUAUGUAAGUAAGAUCGUAAGUUAAGUAUGCCCAUGUUGAAAGAUUUGGCAAAUGAGUCUGUCCAGAGAGGCAUUUUUGAUAUCAGAGGGCUUAAACAGCAUCAUUUUCAGGGGUCAAGCCCUGCUGGCCCUGGCUCAGAGUUCUUCGCCAGUUUUAAGGGUGUGGUAUGGAGAAUCUGAUGUUUGCUUUAAUGACUGUGAGAAGUCUCUUAAACAGACUGGCUGCCUAGAAAAACAUUGCAGAUGCUUCUCAGUCCUGGACUUUUGCUUCUCCAGCCAUGACCAAAGGAACAUUAGUAUAAGUUUAAAACCUUCUCCAAACAUUCCAUAAAAUUUGUGGUUUCUCUCUUCUAUCAAAUUAGGUAAUCUCAUUUAACCAUGGCCACUGCUUGUAUGCAAUCAAACUGUAAGCAGAAAAUUCUUACUUUGCUUUACCUGAACCUAAACUAAGGCUUACAUACUGAUUACUUAGGCCCUACAGGGGCCCAAUUCUAUGUAGUACUAGCUCCAUGAGGCAGAUGCCUAUCUGGUGUCCCCCCAGCCCCUGGAACAGAAACUUCAUUUCCACUAGGGUGUGGGCUCUCUCAGGGAGUUUUAUUGAUCUUUUCAUCUCUGGGUGGUUGCCUAGCACAAAAUAGACAUUUUAGUAAGUAUUUGAGUGAGCAAAUGACCCCUGGGAUUCUAUCUUCUGACCUUCAUUAAUCUAGAUUCAGACUUCUUUUUUAAUUUUAUUAAGACCAUCACUGUUUGGAGAGGUGACUUCUCACAAAGUUGGUCUUCAUGCCUGUUGCCUCUGUAUGAAUAAAAGAUGGGGGGGGGUGAAAAGGAGAAUGCUGAGGUGGGAGUAAGUAGAUGCAACCAUAGGGCAGAUUGGGAACAGAUAAGGCUUUUUCCUCCUUCACCUCUAAACUUCAGCCAGCUAUCAACCAGCCCCCUUGCCCCACAAACCCCACUCCUCCAGUUGCUUUAAAUACAGGGAGCACAGUUACUGCCAUCUCUUAGGAAUAGACUGAACAAGGAGAUCCAUGAGUGAGAAUUUUCCAUGGAUUUAGCCUUUGCCUUUUUCUUACAGCUCUAGUGACUCCUACAUAUAGAUAUUUUUUCUCAAAUAUACAUUUAUGUUAUAAGAGCAAUAUGUACUCAUUUGAGGAAAAUUGGUACUAUACAUAAUAUAUAAAUAAAAAAAUUACUCAUUAACAUUUAGCUGUAUUUCAUUUCAGAUAUUUUUAUGUCUAGUUUUUUUUAGUAUUAAGAUCAUAUGCUAUGAAAAAUAAUGUAUCUUGACUUUUCAGCUAAUUUAAUUAAUAUAAGACUUUUUCUGUAUCAUUAAGUGACAUUACACAUGUUAUUUCAAAAAAACACAAACUUUUUUUACUAUGCAAGUGCACUGUAAUUUACCUAGACUUUCUACUUUCUUCCAUUGGUUGGCAGUGACUGAUAAAUAACAGACUGAAGGGUCUCUCUAGCCAUAGACUAUGAUCAGUAUUAGGUCUUGAUUGGGACGGUCUAAGCCAAUCUUCUGAUCUUACUGGGUUAAGGUAGUUAUUUUUGUUUUCUAGGUCUUGCUUUUGUUAACUAGCCAUGUGGUAAAGGUAGAAGCUUCACUGGGUAUAUAUGCAACAAGAUGGCUAUAGAAAUAAAAAUAUCUCCAUUUUAUUCUCUCUGACUUUAUGAUUUUGAAACAAUAGAAGUGAUACCCAAACUGAUGGAUGGCUACUGGCAAACAAGUUAUAAACAUAAGAGCAGACUUUUAACCUUUAAACUUUACUGAAUAGUUCAAAAGAAUAUACUUGGUACAUUUCAAUACCAAUAGUUCAAAAGAAUAUAGUUGGUAAUUUGGAUGACUAAUGGUUUGGUUUGAUAAAAUUAAAUGAGCCUCAAUCAGUGCUAAAUAAGCACCAUUAAAAAGGCUUUGGAAGAAUAUAAAAUGGUUCAACCACUUGGAAAAACAACAUGGCAGUUCCAAAAAUAUAAUUAAAAAUAGAAUUACCACAUACAGCAAUUCCGCUUCUGGAUAUAGACUCAAAAUAAUUGAAAGCAAGGACUUGAACUGAUAUUUCUGUGUCCAUGUUCAUGGCAGCAUUUUUCACAAUAUUCCAGGCUUUAAAAAUAUUUAUCAGCCUUAAAAGGAAGGAAAUUCUGACACAGGCUACAAGAAGAACCUAGUGGACAUUAUGCUAAGUGAAAUAAGCCAGAAACAAAAGACAAAUAUUGUAUGACUCCACUUAAAUGAGGUACCUGGAGUGGUCACAUUCAUAGAAAUGGAAAGUAGACUGGUGGUUGUCAGGGGUUUGUGGGAGGAGAGAUGGAAAGUGAUUGUUUAGUGGGUAUAAAGUCAUGGUUUUGCAAAAAAGAGUUCUGGAGAAGGAUUGUGGUGAUGUUUUCACAGUAUUAAUGAACUUAAUAUCAUUGAGCACUACACUUGAAAAUGGUUAAGGUAGUAUAUCUUAUGCAAAUUUUACACAAAUUUGUUUCUGUCUUCUGGAAAACCAAAAUAAGUAGUAAUGUAAGAUAUACUACAUCUUAGGGAAAAUUCAGGGAUGUGUGAAUAUAUAAUGAGGAAUACUGGGGGGAAAUACCCAGUUCAUAAAUUAUGACAUAGGGAAGGAGUGAAAUGGGCACAAUAUUUAUAAAAGGCACUAAAAAAGUUAAGUUAGAGGACAUAUACAAAUAAACUGAUAAGUGGAGACUGAAAAUCAGGGAAGACUUCAUGAAGAAAGUGACCAGGACUCCCAUAAAAAGAUGUGGGGGUUGGAUGGGGUAGUCAUCACAGAGUAGAAAGUGGGAGGGAGAAAAAGCAUGCAAAUUAGAAGUUCAGCAUGCUAAGUUUAUAGUGCUAAAUGCCAACAUUAAAAAAAUAAGGAAGAUCACAAAUAAACAACCUGACUUUAUACCUCAAG